GCCGACGUGGUGGAAUUGGUAGACACGCCGUCUUGAGGGGGCGGUGGCGCAAGCUGUGCGAGUUCGAGUCUCGCCGUCGGCACCA
rnacentral:tRNA from 2 species